rnacentral:lncRNA from 1 species
GGAGGCUUGUGAUAUGCUGCAGACACAACUCCAGGGGAGACAAAAGAGUAUGUCCUGGUGACAAAAGAGAAGGACACAGGUAAAAUCUUUUGCCAUAUGUUGAUGGCAAAAAUAUAUAAUUUAAUAUUCUCAGUUUGCUGGAACAGAUGCGCUAAAGGAGUAUGUCAGCUAAGCGUUUGAUUGACAAAGUCAGACUUGUUCAGCUAGAUAAAUAUUCUAGGUUGCAGUUUACAUGGCACAAGUUUGAGCAGGUCACGGUAAAGUUGGUUAUCUUACUCCCUUAGUUCAGUGGCACAGGUGAGAGUAAUUUUGAAGUAAUACCAUCCAUACUGAAAGGGGUUGUAGUGGGACAGUCUCAGAUUCAGCUUCAUUGAUGCCAUAUCCUGUUAUUUAAUAGUGCAAAGUACAAUUUAACAGUUCUAAUAAUGGAUCAUUGUUGGUAACCUGCAGGUGUUUUUGACAGAAAACUCGAAACUAGAAUACUAAUAAUGGAAGUAGCUGGAGGCAGAAGAAAAUAUGGGAUGUGCAAACAUAAAAAGAAAUAGAAAACCUCAAAUAACAAAGGCGCUAUUCUUCUCCCAGGCUAAUCCAAGGCUCCAGAUUACUUUUAAGACCAAUGCUUAUUUUACCUCUGCAAUGAAAAUCAAACCAUUGAGAGCUAAUCAACUGAUUCCUUAGAGGAAGACUGAGGGGAGCAUUCUGAUGGCUGUCGCCUGCCUGACCUCCACAGCAAUGGAGAGGAACCUCCUGGGAACUCAACCAGGUAGUUCCUCCCUCCUCCAUUCCUCUGGGCAAUAAAGUUAUGUAAGGGUUGAUCUCUGUCA